rnacentral:lncRNA from 1 species
UUUUUUUUUCUUUUCUUUUUUUUUUUUUUUCAUAUCAUCCAGACAUGGAGCUAAAGAAGCUGGCAAUCCAGGAAUGUUAACAGGUAUAAUCACAAAAAACCCCAAGGAAUACCACAGGAAAAGGGCAAAUUAGCAAAGCAGAAAACCUUUAAACAAUAAUCAUUCUAUUGCAGGCAAAUACAAUAGAAAAACUGUGGCCCUACCUCAAACCCAUGCCAGAAAAAGCAAAAUGGGGAGCCUAGGAUUCCACUGUCACCAGGCUGUAAUGAGGCACCCAAGGUCUCCUGCAAAGGUGGUAUCAGAGAAAUUGGAGUAGGGACCUGGGACACCAUUCCUACCAGAUAUAUAAGUCCUGUUCCCUGUCCCUCUGGCUUCAGUAGAGACACAUGCAUAGUCUAGACUUCUAUUCCCACUUGGCAGUGGCAGUAAUGAGGCACAGCUUACCUUCUUUUGUAGGGGGGUGUCAGAAGAAGUAUAGCAUAGAGUCAGGACUUUCACCAGUGCCCAGAUAUAAUAAGAUCACCUCAUCUCCAGUGUCAGUAGAAACAGAAACAAGGCAAUCCUACCCUUCUCAGCCAGGAAGGUAUCAGUGAAAGCUUAAUGGGGAGCCAGAUCUCUCACCCUUACUCAGUAGUAAUGAGAAGCCCCUCAUUUGAGUUUCAACAAAAGCCAAGUGAGAACCUGGACUUCUCCUACAGCACAGUAAUGAGGGAUUCCUCUUUUCCGCUAGAACAGUGUCAGAAAAAGACAGCUAAAACCGAAGGUUUCAAUAAGUUCUAUUGUCUCAUAAUAUAAUGCUCAAAAUGUCCAGCUUUCAGUAGUGAAUCAUUUGUCAUAUCAGGAACUGGGAAGAUCAUGGAGUGAAUAAAAAGAAACAAUCAAGAGAUGCCAAUACUGAGAUGACAGAGAUGAUAAAAUUGCCUGCUAAAUAUUUUUAAAAGAUUUUAUUUAUUUAUUAGAGAGCCAGAGCAGGCACUAGUGAGGUGGAGGGGAAAGGUAGAUGGAGCAGUUGACUCCCCACUGAGCAGGGAGCCUGAUGCAGGACUCCAUCCUAGGACCCUGAGAUCACGUUCUGAGCUAAAGGCAGCUGCCCAACUGACUCAGCUACCCAGGCACCCCUCUAACAAAUAUUUUAAUGCAGCUAUAAUGAUAAUGUUUCAAUGAGCAGUUAUAAAUAUGCUUGAAACUAAUGAAACAGUAAAAAGUCUUAGCAAAGAAACAGAGGACACAAAGAAGCAAAUGGAAAUCUUAGAAUGGAGAAGUGAAAAAAAAAACAAAAUAAAAACCCAAUGUAUAAGAUAAAUAAGUAUUAGGGAUGUAAUGUACUACAUGUGGACUAGAGCUAACACUGCUAUACACUAAUAUACAGGAAAGUUGUUAAGAGAAUAAAUCCUAAGAGCUCUCAUUACAAAGACAUUUUUUUUUCCUUUUUCUCUUUUCUCUUUUUAUUGUACCUAUACGAGAGAAUGGAUGCUAGCUGAAUUUUUUGAGGUAAUUAUUUCACAAUACACAUAAAUCAAACUAUCAUACUGUAUGCUUUACACUUAUACAGUGACAUAUAUGUCCAAUAGUUUUCAAUAAGACUGAGGUAGAAACUCAAUGUUGAGUUCAACAAUAAAAUAGUGGGCACAGGGGAAAGAAUUAAUGAAUUUGAAAAGAUAACAAUAGAAAUUACCCAAUCUGAACAACAGAGAGAAAAUAGACUGGAAAAAAGUGAACAGAGCCUUGGGACCUGUGGGAUUAUAACAAAAGAUUUACCAUUCAUUAAAGUCAUUGGCUUUCCAGAAGGAGAGGAGAAAGCAGGCAGGGCUGAAAAGGACUAAAAAUAAUAGCGACAGAAAUCUUUAAAAAUUUGACAAAUGACAUAAAUUUACAGAUUAAAGAAGCUGAACAAAGUUUAAAUAGGAUAAACCCAGAUAAAUCCACACCAAGGCACAUCAAAUUCAAACAUCCGAAAAUUAAGACAUAGAAAAAAAACUUAAAAGUAGUUAGAAUUGAUAUUUUACUUAUAGUAAGAAACAAUUAAAUGACAGUUUAUUUCUCAUCAGAGACUAUGAGACAGGAGACAUUUUUUGAAUAUUGAAAGAAAAGAAUUCUAUAUUUAAAAAAAUCUUUCAAGAAUGAAGAGCAAAGUGAGACAUUUUCAGACAAAAGAAAACUAAGAAAAUUUAUCAAUAGCAGUGCUACCCUAAAAGAAUGGCUAAAAGAAAUUCUCUAAAUAGAAAGAAAACAAUCAAAGAAGGAAAUUUGGCAUAUCAAAAAGGAAGAAAGAACUUGGUAAGUAAAAAUAUGCAUAGAUACAAUAGACUUUUCUUCUUUUGAGUUUUCUAAA